rnacentral:rRNA from 1 species
AUGGGAUUCUAUAGUCUACACGAAUCCCUUCACAAGGAGGUCACCAAGCUCCUCUCCAGAUUCUUUUGGGCUGGAGAGAAUAAUAAACAAAAGUACCACAUGGUGAAGUGGUCUGAGAUCUGUAAGCCCAAGGACCAAGGGGGCCUUGGGGUCAUCUCAUCCAAGCGGAUGAACAUAGCCCUCCUCUCCAAAUGGCUCUGGCGUAUCCAGACCUGUGAGGGAGGCCUGUGGUUGGAGAUUGUUUUCGCAAAAUACCUUCGCGGACAACCGUUGGCCUUCGCCUCUCGCUCUCGAGGCUCCCAAUUCUGGCAAACAGUGGUCCGGUUGGUGCCGAUCUUGCGUAUUGGGACCUCCAUUAAAGUGGGCUCCGGAUCCGGCACCCUGUUUUGGCUGGAUAGGUGGGCCAGGAAUCGGCCCUUUGCGGAGCGUUUUCACGCCUUAUUCUCGAUUUGUGACCACCCACGGCUCUCUAUGGCUGUUGCUCUAACCGACUUGGGCGCUGCCUUCCGUCGUACCUUUGGGGCGACGGAACACGAGCAAUGGGACGAAUUGCUCUCGUGUAUCGCCCUUCACCCCCCUCCCUUGAGCCCAAUGUGCUCUCGUGGCACCUAG